CCUAAGCUGCUGCUUUCCUGUUUAGCUAAGGUCGCGGACUCGCGGAGGCCAAAGGGGCGAAGGGCGGAAAUCGGAAGUGUUUGACGCGCAAGGAUUCAGCAGUUCAGACGAAAACCUCUCUUCUAAUCUCGUUGGAACGCCGAAAGCCUCCAGUUCAACUUCAGCGGCUCACGGCGGAUUGCGACGGGUCGGCGACAGUCGGCAGACACUUUUUGCUGAUUUCGGCAGCCCGCUGCUACUCGCUCUCCCAACAAAUCAAACGAAUCCAGGGUUUCUUCUUUGGACGGGAGUAUCUUAGGGCACAGAGAUGCACGAGCACGAUCAGAAAAACUUAAGAGUUCAGGACACCAGCAGUCCAGCACGACGAGCGGGCCGGCAACUGUUUGAACGG